rnacentral:misc_RNA from 1 species
GAUGAAGAACGUAGCGAAAUGCGAAAAGUAAUGUGAAUUGCAGAAUUCAGUGAAUCAUCGAAUCUUUGAACGCACAUUGCGCCCCCUGGUAUUCCGGGGGGCAUGCCUGUUCGAGCGUCAUUACAACCCUCAAGCUCUGCUUGGUAUUGGGCCCCGCCAGUUCUGGCGGGCCCUAAAGUCAGUGGCGGUGCCUUCCGGCUCCGAGCGUAGUAAUUCUUCUCGCUCUGGAGACCCGGUUGUGUGCUUGCCAACAACCCCCAAUUUUUUAAGGUUGACCUCGGAUCAGGUAGGGAUACCCGCUGAACUUAAGCAUAUCAAUAAGCGGAGGA